UCCCGGAAAAGGUGGUACGUCUUCAUGCACGUGGUGCAUGUGCAAACUGUUGCAGGACAGAGCUGAUGUCUGGAACAUCUUCGGUACUGUGUGUUAAGGGAGAAGAAACGUUUCGUAAUCUCUGUUGCCUCGCUGGGAUGCCCUGAGGUCGAAGCCCACCACAGCUGCAGGGAGGGAAGUUUUCUGCUGACUGCAAAACUUAGCAGUUGACCUCCUCGCCACAUUUUUUGAGCCAUUGGAGAUGUUGUUUCAGUACGAGGCUACGCUCAGCCAAGGAGAAAAUGCACACAACAGAGGUCUGAGAGGAGCCCAGCACAGGAGGUGGUGGUGGGAGGACUUCUUAAAUCAAUUUUCCUCCUGGGAAACCGCCUGAUUCAUUUCAAAGCAAAUUUCUGAUAGCAAAUAUUUUUCUUUUUUUAACAUGACUCCUCUCACAUUACUUUAAAUGAACUGGAUUGGGACUAGGUCAAAUGUCUCCAAGCCCAUAGUUCAAGUCCUCAUUGAUAUAUUAAGGAAAACUGGACUUGUUAUUGCAAAUUUGCUACACUUUCUCUUAGGGUAAUUGUCUCACAUAAGCCAAAGCAGUCUCGAUUCUUUUUUCUUGUGAGACCUACAAGAAAUGCAGCACAGCGUACAGUACUGGUCACAUGCAAAAAUAGCUUUUCUAGGCUCUAAAAAGUUUAAAUAAUGCCUGAAUCAUAAAGGGCUGAAGAUUAAUUAUUGACUUUGUGUGCCUUUGUAUGUGCUUUGUCAACUAUUUUACAAAUGUGUCUUUUAUAAAAGCAGUGUUUUCUUGCAACACAGUUGUAUCCAUGCCUUUCAAAACAUCCACAGCGCACUUUCUCCACACCAGGUGCCACAUCUCUGCUAGUGUCAAACAUAUCAACUUAUAUUGCUUGGUGUGUGACAACCUGAAUGGCGAACACAGAGAAUUCACCCUGCUGUAUCCACUGUGUGCCGAGACAAACUCUGGCCUCUGUCCAAGAUUAAAUAUAAUUUGACACAUCUCGUUUGCAUACACUUCAUUUGUAUGAAUGGGUCAUAGCGUCUGUGUCCAAACAUGACAUGACCUUUUGUCACAAGGUAUACUCUAAUGCUAUUCAGUCCAUACAGCAGGGUUUCAUAGCUUUACUGUGAAGCUUUUCAGGGGGGCAUUUUUCCUACAUGUUCUUAAUCAAGGAUGUUACACUGUCAGCUGUUAUAUGUAUGAAAGUAUGUUGAUUUACAUAUACUGCACGAAAAACAUGUACAUUACCAUGUACGAACUGUAUACAUGUGCACACUUACACUGUUUUCAUGUACAUGUGUGAAAGCUGUAAUGUGUGUAAAAGUCAUGUACUUCUAAACAUCCCAGAUAAACUUGAAAAUAUUUUAUAUCGA